rnacentral:rRNA from 1 species
GAUGAACGCUGUCGGCGUGCCUAAUACAUGCAAGUCGAGCGAACAGACGAGGAGCUUGCUCCUCUGACGUUAGCGGCGGACGGGUGAGUAACACGUGGAUAACCUACCUAUAAGACUGGGAUAACUUCGGGAAACCGGAGCUAAUACCGGAUAAUAUAUUGAACCGCAUGGUUCAAUAGUGAAAGACGGUUUUGCUGUCACUUAUAGAUGGAUCCGCGCCGCAUUAGCUAGUUGGUAAGGUAACGGCUUACCAAGGCGACGAUGCGUAGCCGACCUGAGAGGGUGAUCGGCCACACUGGAACUGAGACACGGUCCAGACUCCUACGGGAGGCAGCAGUAGGGAAUCUUCCGCAAUGGGUGAAAGCCUGACGGAGCAACGCCGCGUGAGUGAUGAAGGUCUUCGGAUCGUAAAACUCUGUUAUUAGGGAAGAACAAAUGUGUAAGUAACUAUGCACGUCUUGACGGUACCUAAUCAGAAAGCCACGGCUAACUACGUG